GAUGAACGCUGGCGGCGUGCCUAAUACAUGCAAGUCGAGCGAACAGACGAGGAGCUUGCUCCUCUGACGUUAGCGGCGGACGGGUGAGUAACACGUGGAUAACCUACCUAUAAGACUGGGAUAACUUCGGGAAACCGGAGCUAAUACCGGAUAAUAUUUUGAACCGCAUGGUUCAAUAGUGAAAGACGGUUUUGCUGUCACUUAUAGAUGGAUCCGCGCCGCAUUAGCUAGUUGGUAAGGUAACGGCUUAUCAAGGCAACGAUGCGUAGCCGACCUGAGAGGGUGAUCGGCCACACUGGAACUGAGACACGGUCCAGACUCCUACGGGAGGCAGCAGUAGGGAAUCUUCCGCAAUGGGCGAAAGCCUGACGGAGCAACGCCGCGUGAGUGAUGAAGGUCUUCGGAUCGUAAAACUCUGUUAUUAGGGAAGAACAAAUGUGUAAGUAACUAUGCACGUCUUGACGGUACCUAAUCAGAAAGCCACGGCUAACUACGUG
rnacentral:rRNA from 1 species